AGCUCGGGGAUUUGAACUUGCAACCUUCCGAUUACUAGUCCAACGCUCUAACCACUAGGCUACCCUGCCACCCCGGGUGCGGAAGGAAAUUACAUUGUAGACCAGUUAGCCAAAAGAGUUUUGAAAUGAGAUAUAAUUGAUAUUAAUGUUCCACUGGGUAGAGAUGAGGCCAAAUGUAGGUAGGAUGAGAACCAUUUUGAUAGAUGUGUGACAGAAGAGAUGGGACUCUGAGCCCAAGGCCUGGGAUUUAUAUGCCCUCUAAAGAAAGGUUGUGGACCAAGAUGCAAAGGAAGAGGUGGUGUUUGCUCGAUUGCGCUUUGGACAUUGUACAUUGAACUCGUCAUUACAUCUGUUUGGCAAGCAUGUGAAUGGCUUGUGUCUCGAGUAUAUGGCCGAUGAAACGAUGGAGUAUGUGUUGGUAUAUUGUUGUAAGUGUGUUUUAAGAGAGGGACAGAUUGAAGUAUAGGGUCAUUGAGGUUGGAAGGUAUUUUGAGGAUGGGGGAGGGUCUGUUAGAAGUUAGUAGGCUUUUUUUUCUCAGAAAUACUGAGUUAGGUAGGAUGAUUUAGAGAUGUUGUAAACCGGGAUUGUGCACCCACUCCAGCACAGUAGGUGGCGGCAUGCACCUUUAAAGUUGGUUUGCGGACCGCCGUUAUAUCAUAGAAGAAGAAGUGGCCAUAGGAAAGCGGAAGUCAUUUCGCUUCCGGCCUACACUGGCGAGUCUUCACCAAAUAUUCUGUGCUUGGCAUACUUUAUACACUCGAUCUAUAAAGUACAUCGACAAACUGACCUCAGAGCAACGACAAUUCAAUCUCAAUGUCAACGAAAGUAACGGUCGUGGAAACUUUGGACUUGUCCUUUUACCGCUGAUCAUCUAAAGUGUAUGGACUUCCUGCUGUCUUCUACUACAGAUCAUCUAAAGUGUAUGGACUUCCUGCUGUCUUCUUCUUCUACAGGUCAUCUAAAGUGUAUGGACUUCCUGCUGUCUUCUUCUUCUACAGGUCAUCUAAAGUGUAUGGACUUCCUGCUGUCUUCUUCUACUACAUGUCAUCUAAAGUGUAUGGACUUCCUGCUGUCUUCUUCUUCUACAGGUCAUCUAAAGUGUAUGGACUUCCUGCUCU
ensembl:lncRNA